rnacentral:pre_miRNA from 1 species
UCACUACUCCCUCCGUUUGGAAUUACUUGUCUCGGAAAUGGAUGUAUCUAGAACUAAAAUACAUCUAGAUACAUCCAUUUCUACGACAAGUAAUUUCGAACGGAGGGAGUAGGAA